UGAUGUUUACAUCCCAGGUAGCUAGCUAACCAGUAGCCACAUUGCAACAUGGAGGACUUCACACAGCACACACUUAUUUUUGGUGGAGAGGGAGUAAGAUUACUACAAAGGAGCAUGCUGACAGACCAGGAAGAAAGCUGUUGUUGCACGGCAGAGGAGUAAUUAAUUGACACGUCACUGAUUGGGACCUGGGAGUUGCUUGCACCUGUUCUUUAUUUAAAGUCAAUGCCAGAAGCAGCACGCCAUCGACGUGAGCUGGGAGCAGCGAGGCUGCAGAGCCGGAGCUGAGGUGACUGAGGAGAACGUGUGCUGUUGCUGGAGCAGACCGGGACCAGUGUUGAAACUGAGCAAGAAGGCCUUUCUGGGAAUUGGGAGGGUGAACGCUUCACCCUUCCCAAAAGCUAAGUACUGCUCCAUAUUCCAUUUCCAACAUUUCACCUGCUAGCACUUCCUGCCAACAUUCUCUACUGCUUUGUGUGCUACACACAGCCAGUACAGUAGUGCGCCUACUGUGAACCAGAGAGGAGGUAUUUUGGGAUACUGGAAGGGUGAAGCACAAUUCGGGGCGAAUUCCUUUCGAUCGCACUCGACAAGUCAUUAUCGAUUAUAGUGACUUUUCUUCCUGAACACUCACUGCUCACAUCUGAACUAUUUGAGUCACUAGUGUCCCCCCAACGACAAUAGAAAACCUUAACUUUCGUGACUAGAUAACAUUACUUGAGCCACUAUCCCCUGCCUCCAUUUAGUUUGGUUUAAAUUACUGUAUCAAGCCUUUUUGAUUUCCCAUUUAAGUUUGUUUAAAUCUAUUUACUAUUUCCCCAUGACCUUUAUACUCCUUUCAUUAGUUCUAUUGUGGCUUAUUGUAAUUUUGUUUAAUAAUUUUUGGAGAGUUAUUGUGGAGUUUUAUUGUAAUUGGCCCUACAGCAUUUCAGCACAAUCUGCUGACAGAAUCUUUCUUUCACUCAGUACAACACAACCCAGGAGAGGACUGCUGCGAACACUGGCUUGGAUCCCUCAGCGAGCCUGCAGUGGUGUGACCAUGGAACAGUCCUCAAAGACUUUUUAAAAUAGGACUUUUCCCAUUUGAUCUUUUUGGACUUGUCCACUUGGGACUUUUAGCUAUUGUUAAAUAAAUAAUGUAUUUCAAUGGCCA